ACACAAAAACCUAACAAGUGUCUGUGUUUCUCAUUUAACAGCUCUGCUGUCAUUACCGUCACGCAAAUGCUAGGCAGGUGUUUCUGGGGGAUACAAGCAGGCAUUAAGCUCACCAGGCAGAGCUCAGCAUGUUUAAGAAAAAGACCUCMGCUGUCAGUAUGAAUAUUUAAUUACACUGACAACUGAAAUGAYAGAAGGAAAGGGGUAGGGGCAAGAAAACUUGAAGAGCCUCUUCACUGAAAUAGAAUUCAAAACUCAUGCUGCGACUCUGCAAUAUUGUUCACUGCAAGAAACUAUUUUGUUCUGCCUCAGAGGCAAUACAUUUUUAUGUUUAAUUUUGCCCUGGGUAUAUACAACACUUGUUUAUGUCCUUAAAAUGUCUUUUAAAGAGAUUGAUUUCAAUGCCUCUCUAGUAAAUCCAGCUAUGAAGAUU
rnacentral:lncRNA from 1 species